GCAGCCGUAGUUCAAUGGCAGAACUUCAGCUUCCCAAGCUGAUCACACGGGUUCGAUUCCCGCCGGCUGCUCCA
rnacentral:tRNA from 1 species